AUGCAACAUCAAAACAACAUCAUGAAUUAAAACACUAUCCUUAGUGAACUAGAAAGCAAAAAAGAUAGACGCAGGCACGAAUUAAUAAAGGGUUUGGGGCCUACCUUUCCUACAGUGUCUAACCUUAAGAUGCGUCCUCCACUCCCUUAUUUCUUUGUCCGUCUUCUUUAUUUUUGCUCGUGUUCUUUUUCUGACUCUCUCUAAUCUCAUUCUCUUUCUUUUUGCAUGUAAAAAGACAGAGACUUAACUCAUAUACUUAGUGUUUCAAUGUAAAAACCCUAAGUAUCAGAUUCUUUAGAGCUUUAGUGGGGGGUUUGAGGUUAUUGUGUGUUGUUUUUAGGGUUCCAAUUUCCCUUCUUUUUUUUGUUCCCUCUCUGUUUUUAGAUUUAGGUAUUUAUAGACUUAGAAUUAGCUUUUGAUUUUAAUUGUGAUUGAUCUAUUCUAGGAAAUUCUUAUUUUAUUUGUAAUUUGAUUUAGUUAGGAAUUAGGAUUCUUAGGAUCUGCA
rnacentral:lncRNA from 1 species